UUCCCAAUUUCGGAUGCUCACGACUGAAGGAAUGCGUCACAGGUACUGGGAUGGACAGGGGAGCAGUUGAGAGGCGACCUCCUACCAAUGGAGAAAGGCGAGGCCGAGAGACACCUUCGAGACGGCUUCGGACACGAGAUGUGUGGAACGAGCGCUGCCGAACUUCUGCCCGAUGGAGUGGAGUACCCUGCGAGCGAGAGCGAGAGAAAGAGAAAGGGGAGAGAGCGAGAUGACGAGAGGCGAGGGAGCGAGAGAAAGCGAGGAAGCGAGAGAGAGCGAGAAACAGAAAUAGCGAGAGGAGCUGUGCGGGAGAGAGAAGUGUAGUAGGGUUUAAUUUAAGUUAGCUUUAGCAAGAAGUAAAAAAGGUGUGAGGUUAGAAGCUACUGUGCUAGUGGGUUAAUAUCAGCCAUUGGAUCUGAUAGUUGUAGGAUAUACACCUUUUUAUAGGAGUACAGGUAAACUUUUCCUAUGCUUUAAUAGCAUCUACGAAUUUCUUGUAAACACCCUUCUCUUUAUCAAAAUGACUCUGCAUGCCCAAAAAUAAAUAAAUAUUAAAUAAAUAAAAAUAAAAAUAAANUGCAUACAUAAUUCUAGCCAACAAUACAUAUAUGAAUACAAACAAAUUAAUUUUCAAUACAAGUAUACACUAAUAUCAUAAAUGCUUUAUUUUUACAAAUGCAACAAAUAAUGUAAUAUACCAGCUGAGUAAUCCCUAAAUAAAAUGAAUCAGCUAGUCGGUGAGCAAAUCCGCAGCACGCAAAGAAGAACCCUACCUGCAACCCUAAACCCUCAAAAUAUAAAUUCUAUAUUAAAUUUAAAAUUAGAAAUAAAAGAUUAUAGAAAUUCAAAAAUAUCCCCUGUUUGAGUAGAAUCCUCUGUUCGGUUGUGGCCGAAUUAGCUCCGGAAUCGUUCCCAAUUUCGGAUGCUCACGACUGAAGGAAUGCGUCACAGGUACUGGGAUGGACAGGGAAGCAAUUGAGAGGCGACCUCCUACCAAUGGAGAAAGGCGAGGCCGAGAGACACCUUCGAGACGACUUCGGACACCAGAUGUGUGGAACGAGCGCUGCCGAACUUCUGCCCGAUGGAGUGGAGUGCCCUGCGAGCGAGAGCGAGAGAAAGAGAAAGGGGAAAGCGCGAGAUGACGAGAGAGGUGACGAGAGAGGCGCGAGAUCAAGAGAGAGGCGAGGGAGCGAGCGGGACCGAGAGAGCGAGCGGGACCGAGAAGGAGGUGUAGGGGAGAGAGAGAGAAAGAGAUGUGUAGUAGGGUUUAGCUUUAGGAAGAAAAAAUAAAAAAGGGAGUGAAGUUAGCUGCUACUGUGCUAGUGAUCUAAUAAUAGCCGUUGGAUCAUACGGGUGUAGGAUAUACACUUUCUUAUAGGAGUACAGGUAGACUUUUCCAACUAAGAAAGGGAUAAAAAUG
rnacentral:lncRNA from 1 species